rfam:Gymnopus luxurians FD-317 M1 unplaced genomic scaffold GYMLTscaffold_38, whole genome shotgun sequence.
GGGCAUGUAGCGUAGGGGUUAUCGCGUUCGCUUUGCAUCGAACUUCAUGACGAUAUAUUGCGAAAGGUCUCCGGUUCAAAUCCGGACUUGUCCA